rnacentral:snoRNA from 1 species
UGGACAUUUAUUCCUUGAGGAGACGAGAAGUGUGCGCUCUCUCAAGGUGAAGCUAGCUAGCUCUUUAUAAAUGUCCUAGAGAAAUAUAGUCGCUUUCUGUCCACCCUUUGCAAGUAAAAAGGGUGGAUCGUUCCACUACUGCCACUU